UUAAGCGACUAAGCGUACACGGUGGAUGCCCUGGCAGUCAGAGGCGAUGAAGGACGUGCUAAUCUGCGAUAAGCGUCGGUGAGGUGAUAUGAACCGUUAUAACCGGCGAUUUCCGAAUGGGGAAACCCAGUGUGUUUCGACACACUAUCAUUAACUGAAUCCAUAGGUUAAUGAGGCGAACCGGGGGAACUGAAACAUCUAAGUACCCCGAGGAAAAGAAAUCAACCGAGAUUCCCCCAGUAGCGGCGAGCGAACGGGGAGGAGCCCAGAGCCUGAAUCAGUGUGUGUGUUAGUGGAAGCGUCUGGAAAGGCGUGCGAUACAGGGUGACAGCCCCGUACACAAAAAUGCACAUAUUGUGAGCUCGAUGAGUAGGGCGGGACACGUGGUAUCCUGUCUGAAUAUGGGGGGACCAUCCUCCAAGGCUAAAUACUCCUGACUGACCGAUAGUGAACCAGUACCGUGAGGGAAAGGCGAAAAGAACCCCGGCGAGGGGAGUGAAAAAGAACCUGAAACCGUGUACGUACAAGCAGUGGGAGCCUCUUAAUGGGGUGACUGCGUACCUUUUGUAUAAUGGGUCAGCGACUUAUAUUCUGUAGCAAGGUUAACCGAAUAGGGGAGCCGAAGGGAAACCGAGUCUUAACUGGGCGUUAAGUUGCAGGGUAUAGACCCGAAACCCGGUGAUCUAGCCAUGGGCAGGUUGAAGGUUGGGUAACACUAACUGGAGGACCGAACCGACUAAUGUUGAAAAAUUAGCGGAUGACUUGUGGCUGGGGGUGAAAGGCCAAUCAAACCGGGAGAUAGCUGGUUCUCCCCGAAAGCUAUUUAGGUAGCGCCUCGUGAAUUCAUCUCCGGGGGUAGAGCACUGUUUCGGCAAGGGGGUCAUCCCGACUUACCAACCCGAUGCAAACUGCGAAUACCGGAGAAUGUUAUCACGGGAGACACACGGCGGGUGCUAACGUCCGUCGUGAAGAGGGAAACAACCCAGACCGCCAGCUAAGGUCCCAAAGUCAUGGUUAAGUGGGAAACGAUGUGGGAAGGCCCAGACAGCCAGGAUGUUGGCUUAGAAGCAGCCAUCAUUUAAAGAAAGCGUAAUAGCUCACUGGUCGAGUCGGCCUGCGCGGAAGAUGUAACGGGGCUAAACCAUGCACCGAAGCUGCGGCAGCGACACUAUGUGUUGUUGGGUAGGGGAGCGUUCUGUAAGCCUGUGAAGGUGGCCUGUGAGGGUUGCUGGAGGUAUCAGAAGUGCGAAUGCUGACAUAAGUAACGAUAAAGCGGGUGAAAAGCCCGCUCGCCGGAAGACCAAGGGUUCCUGUCCAACGUUAAUCGGGGCAGGGUGAGUCGACCCCUAAGGCGAGGCCGAAAGGCGUAGUCGAUGGGAAACAGGUUAAUAUUCCUGUACUUGGUGUUACUGCGAAGGGGGGACGGAGAAGGCUAUGUUGGCCGGGCGACGGUUGUCCCGGUUUAAGCGUGUAGGCUGGUUUUCCAGGCAAAUCCGGAAAACCAAGGCUGAGGCGUGAUGACGAGGCACUACGGUGCUGAAGCGACAAAUGCCCUGCUUCCAGGAAAAGCCUCUAAGCAUCAGGUAACAUCAAAUCGUACCCCAAACCGACACAGGUGGUCAGGUAGAGAAUACCAAGGCGCUUGAGAGAACUCGGGUGAAGGAACUAGGCAAAAUGGUGCCGUAACUUCGGGAGAAGGCACGCUGAUAUGUAGGUGAAGCGACUUGCUCGUGGAGCUGAAAUCAGUCGAAGAUACCAGCUGGCUGCAACUGUUUAUUAAAAACACAGCACUGUGCAAACACGAAAGUGGACGUAUACGGUGUGACGCCUGCCCGGUGCCGGAAGGUUAAUUGAUGGGGUUAGCGGUAACGCGAAGCUCUUGAUCGAAGCCCCGGUAAACGGCGGCCGUAACUAUAACGGUCCUAAGGUAGCGAAAUUCCUUGUCGGGUAAGUUCCGACCUGCACGAAUGGCGUAAUGAUGGCCAGGCUGUCUCCACCCGAGACUCAGUGAAAUUGAACUCGCUGUGAAGAUGCAGUGUACCCGCGGCAAGACGGAAAGACCCCGUGAACCUUUACUAUAGCUUGACACUGAACACUGGUCCUUGAUGUGUAGGAUAGGUGGGAGGCUUUGAAGCGUGGACGCCAGUCUGCGUGGAGCCAACCUUGAAAUACCACCCUUUAAUGGCUGGUGUUCUAACGUAGACCCGUAAUCCGGGUUGCGGACAGUGUCUGGUGGGUAGUUUGACUGGGGCGGUCUCCUCCUAAAGAGUAACGGAGGAGCACGAAGGUUGGCUAAUCCUGGUCGGACAUCAGGAGGUUAGUGCAAUGGCAUAAGCCAGCUUGACUGCGAGCGUGACGGCGCGAGCAGGUGCGAAAGCAGGUCAUAGUGAUCCGGUGGUUCUGAAUGGAAGGGCCAUCGCUCAACGGAUAAAAGGUACUCCGGGGAUAACAGGCUGAUACCGCCCAAGAGUUCAUAUCGACGGCGGGGUUUGGCACCUCGAUGUCGGCUCAUCACAUCCUGGGGCUGAAGUAGGUCCCAAGGGUAUGGCUGUUCGCCAUUUAAAGUGGUACGCGAGCUGGGUUUAGAACGUCGUGAGACAGUUCGGUCCCUAUCUGCCGUGGGCGCUGGAGAACUGAGGGGGGCUGCUCCUAGUACGAGAGGACCGGAGUGGACGCAUCACUGGUGUUCGGGUUGUCAUGCCAAUGGCACUGCCCGGUAGCUAAAUGCGGAAGAGAUAAGUGCUGAAAGCAUCUAAGCACGAAACUUGCCCCGAGAUGAGUUCUCCCUGACUCCUUGAGGGUCCUGAAGGAACGUUGAAGACGACGACGUUGAUAGGCCGGGUGUGUAAGCGCAGCGAUGCGUUGAGCUAACCGGUACUAAUGAACCGUGAGGCUUAACCUU
rnacentral:rRNA from 1 species